AUGUUCCCUUUAACAGGAAAGUACCAAUUGGAAUGAUAAAGAGGAUAUUAGCAUGGCCCCUGUGCAAGGACGGCAAUUGGAUAUCAAAUCAAAUCAUUUAUUGU